rnacentral:rRNA from 1 species
GACGUAGGGGGCGAGCGUUACCCGGAUUCACUGGGCGUAAAGCGCGUGUAGGUGGUUUGCUAAGUCGGAUGUGAAAGCUCCGGGCUCAACCCGGAAAGGUCAUCCGAUACUGGCAGACUUGAGGACGGUAGAGGUCGGUGGAAUGGCGAGUGUACCGGUGAAAUGGGCAGAUAUUCGCCAGAACACCAGUGGCGAAGGCGGCCGACUGGGCCGUUCCUGACGCUGAGACGCGAAAGCCAGGGUAGCGAACCGG